rnacentral:rRNA from 1 species
GAUGAACGCUGGCGGCGUGCUUAGCACAUGCAAGUCGAACGGAAAGGCCCAAGCUUGCUUGGGUACUCGAGUGGCGAACGGGUGAGUAACACGUGGGUGAUCUGCCCUGCACUUCGGGAUAAGCCUGGGAAACUGGGUCUAAUACCGGAUAGGACCACAUUUUGGAUGGUGUGGUGGAAAGUUUUUCGGUGUGGGAUGAGCUCGCGGCCUAUCAGCUUGUUGGUGGGGUAAUGGCCUACCAAGGCGUCGACGGGUAGCCGGCCUGAGAGGGUGUACGGCCACAUUGGGACUGAGAUACGGCCCAGACUCCUACGGGAGGCAGCAGUGGGGAAUAUUGCACAAUGGGCGCAAGCCUGAUGCAGCGACGCCGCGUGGGGGAUGACGGCCUUCGGGUUGUAAACUCCUUUCGCUAGGGACGAAGCGUUAUGUGACGGUACCUGGAGAAGAAGCACCGGCUAACUACGUG